rnacentral:lncRNA from 1 species
UGCCCUGAAGCUCACUUACUGUGCCUUUCAACUCACCAACUGUGCUUUGAAGUUCCUCAACCUUUUGCUCUGUAGCACAAGAAGAGGCAAAUCCACCACUAUGCGAACUCUCCACUCGGAGACUAGAACCCAAGCCUCGAAUCCUCUUGCCCUUUGCAACCCCAAGUUCUACAGUCAUGAUCUCUAACUGUUGUGGGAUAGGAAGUAUGACUUGAUCUAGUGGAGUUCCUGAACUCUCUGCCACUUGUUGCUUGGCUUUCUCAUACUCUUCAUUCAUCUUCUUCUACAAAAAGAAGCAAAAUAUAGAUAUGUCAAUAUAUAUAAAUGCAUAAAAAGAAUGAAGUAAAUGGGAUGCCAGUAUGAUCAAUUGUGUUCAUAAACUAGCAAUGCCAAUUAUCCUAAUCAAACAGUCACAAUUAAAAAAAAAAAAAUUCAACUUGAAGCAAAUAAUAAAAGGAAAAGGCACAUAAAAAAUGGAAUAGAUCUCUUCAGAUAUGCAUAUUGCAGAAAGUUUGAAAAUACUUACAGAUCUUAUAAGAUCUUUUUG